UUUGGAGGGGSCAGUCUGGUGCCAGCAGCCGCGGUAAUUCCAGCUCCAAUAGCGUAUAUUAAAGUUGUUGCAGUUAAAAAGCUCGUAGUUGAAUUUCGGGGUUCCACCGUUGGUCGGGCUAUUGUYUGUACUGGCGUGUGGAAUUUCUACCUUCUGGGGAACUAUCAUGUUAUUAAUUUAGCGUGGUAGGAAACCAGGACCUUUACCUUGAAAAAAUUAGAGUGUUCAAAGCAGGCUUAUGUCUGAAUACAUUAGCAUGGAAUAAUAAAAUAGGACGGUGGUCCUGUUUUGUUGGUUUCUGAAUCACCGUAAUGAUUAAUAGGGAUAGUUGGGGGCAUUAGUAUUCAAUUGUCAGAGGUGAAAUUCUUGGAUUUAUUGAAGACUAACUACUGCGAAAGCAUUUGCCAAGGAUGUUUUCAUUAAUCAAGAACGAAAGUUAGGGGAUCGAAGACGAUCAGAUACCGUCGUAGUCUUAACCAUAAACUAUGCCGACUAGGAUCGACGAGUACG
rnacentral:rRNA from 1 species